rnacentral:tRNA from 2 species
UAUUAAGUGGCUGAACUUUAAGCACUAGACUUUUAAUCUAGAAAAUGAUUUUAUAUAAAUCCUUAAUAU